rnacentral:lncRNA from 1 species
UUCCUAUCUGCAAUUAACCUUUAACCCAGAGCAACCACACAGCUCUGAUAACUGAUUGGUCAGUUUCAGACCAGUGCUGAGAAGUGAAUGGAUAAGUUUGUUUUACAAGGUCCGGUGCCCCGGAUGGGCGGAAUUUGCCCAUUUUAGACCAUUGGUCCUUAAAUUAAAACGCCACCCACCCGGGACAACGGGCCAUAUGCAAAAUAAACUCCACCAGUGAUUCACUGAUAUCCACAGAAGCUGUCAUUAUCGCUCAGUGAACAUGAUUCAUAAUGGUGGGUUGGAAUAGAGAGGAUCACUUCUAGUGCUGUAUAUCCUUAAACAUAUCUGUAGCCUGGACAAUGAAUCAAUUAUUAGUCACUGAUACAAUGCUGCUUGUUGCACCUCUUCAUAUCCACUGUCCCCUCUCCUUCUCCCUCUCUGUCCUCCCUUCUUCAUAUCCACUGUCCCCUCUCCUUCUCCCUCUCUGUCCUCCUUCAUAUCCACUGUCCCCUCUCCUUCUCCCUCUCUGUCCUCCCUUCUUCAGAUCCACUGUCCCCUCUCCUUCUCCCUCUCUGUCCUCCCUUCUUCAGAUCCACUGUCCCCUCUCCUUCUCCCUCUCUGUCCUCCCUUCUUCAUAUCCACUGUCCCCUCUCCUUCUCCCUCUCUGUCCUCCCUUCUUCAUAUCCACUGUCCCCUCUCCUUCUCCCUCUCUGUCCUCCCUUCUUCAUAUCCACUGUCCCCUCUCCUUCUCCCUCUCUGUCCUCCCUUCUUCAUAUCCACUGUCCCCUCUCCCUCUCCCUCUCUGUCCUCCCUUCUUCAUAUCCACUGUCCCCUCUCCUUCUCCCUCUCUGUCCUCCCUUCUUCAUAUCCACUGUCCCCUCUCCUUCUCCCUCUCUGUCCUCCCUUCUUCAUAUCCACUGUCCCCUCUCCUUCUCCCUCUCUGUCCUCCCUUCUUCAUAUCCACUGUCCCCUCUCCUUCUCCCUCUCUGUUCUCCCUUCUUCAUAUCCACUGCCCCCUCUCCUUCUCCCCUCUGUCCUCCCUUCUUCAUAUCCACUGUCCCCUCUCAUUCUCCCUCUCUGUCCUCCCUUUUUCAUAUCCACUGUCCCCUCUCCUUCUCCCUCUCUGUCUUCCCUUAUUCAUAUCCACUGUCCCCUCUCCUUCUCCCCUCUGUCCUCCCUUCUUCAUAUCCACUGUCCCCUCUCCUUCUCCCUCUCUGUCCUCCCUUCUUCAUAUCCACUGUCCCCUCUCCUUCUCCCUCUCUGUCCUCCCUUCUUCAGAUCCACUGUCCCCUCUCCUUCUCCCUCUCUCUCCUCCCUUCUUCAUAUCCACUGUCCCCUCUCCUUCUCCCUCUCUGUCCUCCCUUCUUCAUAUCCACUGUCCCCUCUCCUUAUCCCUCUCUGUCCUCCCUUCUUCAUAUCCAUUAUCCCCUCUCCCUCUCCCUCUCUGUCCUCCCUUCUUCAUAUCCACUGUCUCCUCUCCCUCUCCCUCUCUGUCCUCCCUUCUUCAGAUCCACUGUCCCCUCUCCUUCUCCCUCUCUGUCCUCCCUUCUUCAUAUCUACUGUCCCCUCUCCUUCUCCCUCUCUGUCCUCCCUUCUUCAGAUCCACUGUCCCCUCUCCCUCUCCCUCUCUGUCCUCACUUCUUCAGAUCCACUGUCCUCUCUCCUUCUCCCUCUCUGUCCUCCCUUCUUCAUAUCCACUGUCCCCUCUCCUUCUCCCUCUCUGUCCUCCCUUCUUCAUAUCCACUGUCCUCUCUCCUUCUCCCUCUCUGUCCUCCCUUCUUCAUAUCCACUGUCCCCUCUCCUUCUCCCUCUCUGUCCUCCCUUCUUCAUAUCCACUGUCCCCUCUCCUUCUCCCUCUCUGUCCUCCCUUCUUCAUAUCCACUGUCCCCUCUCCUUCUCCCUCUCUGUCCUCCCUUCUUCAUAUCCACUGUCCCCUCUCCUUCUCCCUCUCUGUCCUCCCUUCUUCAGAUCCACUGUUCUCUCUCCUUAUCCCUCUCUGUCCACCUUUCUUCAGAUCCACUGUCCCCUCUCCUUCCACCCCUCUUCACUGUCCCCUUUUCACUGUCCCUUCUCCUUCUUCACUGUCCCCUCUCCUUCUACCUCUCUGCCCUCCCCUCUUCACUGUCCCCUCUCCUUCUACCUCUCUGCCCUCCGCUCUUCACAGUCCCCUCCUUCCUCCCUCUCCACUGUCCCCUCUCCCUCCUCCCCUCUUCACUGUCCCCUCUCCUCCUCCCCUCUUCACUGUCCCAUCUCCCUCCUCCCCUCUUCACUGUCCCCUCUCCCUCUCCUUCCUCCUAUCCUCCCAUCCUCCCCUUUUCACUGUCCCCUCUACCUUUCCUUCCUUUCUCCCCUCACCCUCUCCUUCUCCUGCCUCCUCUCUCCUGCCUCCCCUCUCUACCUCCUCCCCGUUCCCUGUCCCUCUCUUCACUGUCUCCUCUUUUUCUCUCCAGAUGCUUUCCCCCCUCAGGGACUGCACUCCAACAUUCUAAAGAAUCCCAACCCCCCCUCUCCUCCUCCUCUCCUCCUUUUCCCCCCUCCUUUGCUUCAACUAACUAAAACAAUGGAUUCCCACAAGUUUUUUAUGGCCAUUGUUACCCAAACACUUAGCAUUCUGCUAACAUCCCAACUUUAGUGUGAUU